CAAAUGGGAAACUGCACUAAUCAACAUGAACUUAAAUCACAGUUGAUCAUUGUUUUAUCAUGAAUAUUUCUAAGUGAUAAUGAGACAUCCGAAACUCAAAGAAAGAAGUUGAAUGAGGAUAACUGACCCCUUGGUCUUCCUAAGAGUCAUGAAGGAUGAAAGGAUGUGGUCCAUUACAUCCCUCAUCUGGUGCCCUUUUGGAAUAAUUUCUUGUCUUGCCUCAUUUGCCAACACUGGGUAAAUGUACUACCCAAUUGCCAAUUUUCAGUUUGUUUUGUAUUUUGUCAGUAGCAUUUAACAGGGUUGAUCUCUCCCUUCUUCUCCAAGCAGCUUCAUGAGCUCCUGAUGCCUCUUUCUGCUGGUUUAUUCAUGAACCUCCCUGGCUAUCUCAUCAUAGUGUCCUUUGAGGUUCCUUCCUCCCUAUUUAAGAUCUACUAUUUGGAAGGUCUAAAGUUGGCGUAAAGACUGCAUCUCUGUUGUAAGCUAAUCGCUGUCAAGAUACAGUGAUUCAGGGUGAUAUUUUCAAAUAACUUCAUUCUUAGAACUUUCAAGUUCAUCUCUCAAGUUUGGAUGAUUCUAAUUCAGUUAGCAGACAAGUUUUCACUGGACCUCACUGACUUUGAUGUUGGGUAGGCCUCUCCAACUUAACGUUGCCCAAAAUUGUGCCAUGAUUUCUACACCCUUCAAAAAAAUUCCUCUUAUACUUUCCCCAUCUUGGGUACCGGCUUUCCCCUCUUUCAGGUUGCCCAAAGCUGAAAUCCUUGUUGCUUUCUCCCACAUCCCACAUUCAUCCGUCACCAAAUCCUUCUGGCUCUGACUUCAAAACAAGCCUAGAAUUUUCUGACUGCUGUGGGCCUCCUUCACGAUGCUGAUCCUUGCCAGCGAGACCUGCCUCCAGGUCACUCUGCUUCCACACACACUGCCCUUCCCGUAUGGUCUCAGGACAAUUGUUAGAGUGACCUGAGAUGUAAGUCCUGUGUCUGCUAACACCCUUCCAGUGGCUUCCCAUCUCAUUCAGAUUAAAAGCCAGGGUUCUGCAGUGGCUCAGAAGGAUCUCUGUGAUUUGUUUUCACUCUGCUCAUCUCUAAUCUCCUAUCACUGUCCUCCUCACCACCAGGUCCUUUGGCUUUCCUUAGACAUAGAGGGUCUGAUUCUGAGCUUAGAGCACAUUCCACCCUGGGAAGCUCCUCUCCCAAAUGGCUUCCUUCCUUUCCUCUUUCAAGGUCUCUGCUCAGAUAUCACCUGACCUCUUAGUCUUCCUUGACCACCCUAAAACACAGCAAUGGCUUUAACCAGAUUUGGCUAUGUAUAGUGUGAAUAAUGGCAAAUAAUAAAUCAACCUACCGUGGUGAAACUUACCACCAUUCCCCUCGACAUCUACUCGAUUUGCUGUACUUAUUGAUUGUAUCACUGAUUUUGUGGUAUAAUAUAUAUUUGUUUCUUUAUGGCCCAUUUGCCACAAGAGUAAAGGAACUUUGUCAACUGUGCUCACGGCUGUAGUCCCGUUGCCUAAAAUACCACCAAGCACAAAGGAAGUAUUUGACAAGUAUUGUUGAAUGAGUGAGUGACUAUAUAAAUAGAAAGCAGUUAAUGGUGGGUUAGGAAGUGCA
rnacentral:lncRNA from 1 species